GCCCACUCACACGCUUCUCGUUCUUCCAUUUUUUAUUCUCCGUUAUGAAAGUUAUGUAGCCGCAUAAAGCUGCGAGAUUCUCCCCUUUCUUCCUAUAUGAUCUCAGCCGUAUUGCUGAUUUGUUGCUAAAAACAUGUAUGCUUGGGUGCCUAAAGUCAUCCAGCUGCGCAGGCAAAUUCAUCUGUAACGUGUAGGUGUGGUUUCAGAUAGGUUCAGAGUUUGAUACCAUAUAGCUCACGCAUGCCAUGGUUUUCCAAUAGGUUCAGGAUUUGAUUCUAGUAGGUGGGUUGUUUGAUGCCUGGUAGGGGAAUUGCGGAACACUUGUGAGAAGGGAUGAUGUCUUGUGUGUUGAGAUUUGCCUUUGGCAUUAGCGCAUCGAGGAGCAAACUUAUUGAACUGGCAUGAUGAAUUGUGUUAGCGACCCAAGUGCAGGCCCAACUACAAGCCCAGCUACGCUAAGGAGGAGUACCAGGGCCCGCCAAGUUCCAGCCCGUCUACGUGACUGAUCAGACCGAUCCCCGUCGCUGUUAUAAGCGGAGGACGGCUGCUGUAAUAGGAUAGGCUUGGGCAGACGGCUCUGCCGAUCUGAAACUGGUAUCGCUGUUUGAAUCAACUAGAAUCUCGCUAUGAAUCCAUGAGUUCGUGAGCAUAUAUCGAUUCCAGUUCUCCGUAGAUUAGCAUCUAACAAUCUGGUAUCAGAGCCCACGAUCCGCAGAUCUGGAUCGAUUUUUUCCCCCUCCCACCCAUCACCGCACGCGCCAAUUCACCAGAAAUCGAGCCAUGGAGGUCGAAGGAUUCACCAAACAGCAGAUCUUCGAUACGCUGUACACGUUCGUCAACGACCAGAAGGCCGAGACCACGUCGGCGUUCGCGGAGCAGCAGCGCAUGAUGCAGGAGCAGCAUCGCGCCAUGCUCGACGCGCUCAAGGAGAUCCGCGAGGAUAUCGGCGACAUCCAGUUGCGGAUGGAGCGCGGCGCCUUACCACCGUCGUCCUCGACGAUCAAGGCCGCCUCUCCGCCGCCGACCCCGCGUGGGGGCGAUCUCAGCCAAAUCGGGCCCAGCGACGACAAAACUGCUCGGGGGAAGGCUCAUGACACCGCCGGUGUCUAUGUGCCUCCUCCGGCAAGAGGUGCGCAAUUCGCUCGACCGCCCCAUUCUUCUUCUGCUGAUGAAUUACUCCAGUCCCGCCGUCAUGAUGAAUUUGCUCAUACGCACCACCGAGAUCACGAUUCCCACGUCAAUCACCGCUCCCUGCCAAAAAUUCACUUCCCCAAAUUUGAUAGAUCAUGCCCUAAGCUCUGGAAACAGAGAUGUGAGGACUACUUCUCCCUAUACGGUACCCAUCGCUCGAUGUGGAUUACCGUCGCCACGAUGCAGUUUGAAGGAGCAGCCGCUCGUUGGCUUCAAUCUGUUCAGCAUAAACUACAUGAUACAUCAUGGGAGGAAUUUUGUUCGUGGCUAGUUACUCGUUUUGGUAGGAAUCAGUAUCAGGCUUUGCUUCGUCAGCUUUACCACAUGCAGCAGAGCACAACUGUUAUAGAAUAUGUAGAGAGAUUUGCUGAGCUAGUUGAUCAAUUAUCAGCUUAUGAACACAAUAUACCUAGUUUGCACUAUGUUACUAGAUUCCAGGAUGGUUUACGACCUCAUAUUAGAGCUGCAGUAGCAAUACAAUCUCCUCUCGACCUCGAUACUGCCUACUCUCUUGCUCUGUUACAGGAAGAGGUGGGUGAGCAACCAAUGCAACAUCAUAGGCAAUUGCAAAUACCUGCUCCAGCACCGGUACUGGCAUUGCCUGCUCCUCCAAGACGGCCACUGCCACUUCCUGCUCCUCCAACAGCCAAGUUUCCACCACAGCCAGACAAGCAGCCUGUGACAGAAGCAAAUGGAUCUGGAAGUCAGUCGGCAGAGGCCAAGUGGAUUGCCUUGCGCAAUUACAGACGUGCCCGGGGUCAGUGCUAUACUUGUGGUGAGCGCUACUCGAGGGAACACCAAUGCAAAGGGACUGUCCAGUUACAUAUCUUACAAGAAGUUCUGGAAUUGUUCAGUAUUGAAGCUGUGGACCAUGAUCAAGCUUCGAGCUCUGGCACUCAAGCUGAACUUCAUCUCAUGAUCAAGGAAACUACUAUCAAGGAUCCAAGCAAAUUGACUUUCAAACUGGCUGGGGUGAUUCAAGAUCAGCAGAUCCAGUUUCUGGUUGAUUCAGGGAGUACACAUUCGUUCCUCAACAACACUUUUAUUCCGCAGCUGUCUGGUGUGGUUCCAAUGCAGGCUACUAUGCGUGUCAAGGUUGCUAAUGGUGAACAGCUGCAGUGCAAUCAAACACUUCUGGAUUGUCCAUGGACUUGUGAAGGACACCAAUUCAAUACUCAAUUUAAAUUCAUUGCAUUGGGAGCUUACGAUGGAAUUCUGGGAUUGGACUGGUUGGCUAUGCAUAGUCCAAUGAAUGUGGAUUGGGAAGAACAGUGGAUGUCGUUUGAUCAUCAUGGUUCUACUAUCACCUUGCAGAGUCACCAACCAGAGCAGUUUUCCUGUACAGUGGUGGAAUUGUUACUGCUGCACGAUUCUACUGACAGUCCAAUUCAGUUGCCUGUCGAAGUGACGCAAAUUCUCAAGCAGUUUCAGUCUGUAUUCGAGGAGCCAGUGGGCUUACCUCCAAGGAGAUUGUGCGAUCAUUCCAUACCUCUGAUCCCUGGUGCACAGCCUGUCAACAAGAAACCUUAUCGAUACACGCCACAAUUGAAGACGGAAAUUGAGAAACAGAUAGCUGAAAUGUUGGCCAGUGGAGUUAUACGCAUCAGCAACAGUGCUUUCUCCUCACCCAUUAUUCUGGUGCGCAAGAAGGAUGGUUCCUGGAGAAUAGUGGUGGAUUAUCGCCACUUAAACGCUCUCACAAUUAAAAGCAGAUAUCCUGUCCCUGUUAUUGAUGAGCUAUUGGAUGAACUAGCUGGGGCAAGCUGGUUCUCCAAGCUGGAUCUAAGAGCGGGUUAUCACCAAAUUCGCAUGGCUCCUGGAGAAGAGUUCAAGACGUCUUUUCAGACUCACCAUGGACAAUUUGAGUUCACAGUUAUGGCAUUUGGACUUACUGGAGCCCCUGCAACUUUCCUCAGUGCUAUGAAUGACACAUUGAGUGAUUAUCUGCGCAAAUUCGUGCUGGUAUUUUUCGACGACAUUCUAAUCUACAGCACCAGCUACACUGAGCAUCUGCAUCAUAUUACUCUAGUACUGCAGCGCCUACAAGAUCACCACUGGCAAGUGAAGAUGUCCAAAUGUGAGUUUGCACAACAGAGCAUUGCCUACCUCGGGCAUAUCAUCUCUGCGGCUGGAGUUGCUACUGAUCAGUCCAAAAUUGACACAGUCCGUGACUGGCCAGCACCAGUUAAUGUCAAGGAACUCAGAAGUUUCUUGGGUCUAUCCGGAUAUUAUAGAAAAUUUGUCAAAAAUUAUGGGAUUAUAUCCAAGACUCUCACCAAUUUGCUCAGGAAAGGAGUACCUUAUGUAUGGACUGUCGAAACUGAUACAGCUUUUCAUUCAUUGAAGCAAGCAUUGAUCACUGCUCCAGUAUUAGCUCUGCCUGAUUUCUCUAAACCGUUUGUGGUCGAGACUGAUGCCUCUGACAUUGGUAUUGGUGCUGUACUCCUCCAAGACAAACAUCCUAUUGCUUUUGUCAGUAGAGCUCUUGGACCGCGUACCAGAGGACUGUCGACAUAUGAAAAAGAAUACCUGGCUAUUCUCCUUGCAGUGGAUCAGUGGCGCCCCUACUUGCAGAGUGGAGAAUUUCAGAUUGUAACUGACCAGCGCAGCCUAGCUCAUCUAAAUGACCAGAAUCUCCAUACACAGUGGCAACACAAGGCAUUAACUAAAAUGCUUGGACUACAGUAUACUAUUGUGUAUAGAAAAGGCAGCGAGAACACAGCAGCAGAUGCUUUGUCGCGUAGACCACAGGAAGUUCAUGGUCAACUGACUGCUAUCUCAUCAGUUGUGCCAGCAUGGCUUACAGACGUCAUUACCGGGUACCAGAAUGACCCAAAAGCACAAGCACUCCUGGCACAAUUGGCUGUGAAACCAUCUGAUGAGGACGGCUACUCUCUAACUGAUGGAAUUAUCCGCAAAAAGGGCAAAAUCUGGUUGGGCUGUAACUCUGAAUUGCAUCUUCGCGUGACUGAAGCAAUGCAUGCCAGUCCUACUGGGGGGCACUCGGGUUUUCCUGUCACCUACAGACGUAUCAAGUCUAUAUUUACCUGGCCACUGAUGAAACAAUUCGUGCGCCGUGUGGUACAAGAAUGUCUCAUCUGCCAGAAGGCAAAACCUGAGCGUGUGCGUUACCCCGGGUUAUUGCAGCCACUUCCAGUACCAAAACAUGCGUGGGAAGUAGUAUCUAUGGAUUUCGUUGAAGGCUUUCCUCGCUCUGGCCGUUAUGAUGGAGUGUUCGUGGUGGUCGACAAAUUUUCCCGGUAUGCCCAUUUCAUCCCAAUUGUGCAUCCAUAUACAGCUGCUAGCAUUGCACGCCUGUACCUCGACAACAUAUUCAAACUGCAUAGUAUGCCACUGUCAAUCAUUUCCGAUAGAGAUCGCAUCUUCACCAGUGCUUUCUGGAAGGAAUUGUUUCGCCUAGCGGGUACCCAGCUACGUCUCAGUUCCUCAUAUCAUCCCCAAACAGAUGGGGCAACUGAACGAGUAAACCAAUCCCUCGAGGCAUAUCUGCGUUGCUUUGCCCAGGCAUGUCCACAGAAAUGGGCGCAGUGGUUAUCCUUGGCUGAAUAUUGGUACAACACUAACUGGCACUCUGCUUUGAACAAAACUCCUUUUGAAGUACUGUAUAACCAUCCUCCCCGUCACUUCGGUCUGGAGCCCGCAGAUGCUUGUGCAGUUACUGAUCUCAAGGAAUGGUUGAAUGAUCGUACGAUCGUCCAAGAUCUUCUCCGUCAACAACUAAUCAGGGUUCAGAACAAGAUGAAGGCUUCAGCUGAUAAGAAGCGUUCUUUCCGGGAGUUCCAAGUGGAUGAAUUGGUAUUCUUGAAACUCCAACCCUACAUUCAAAAUUCAGUGGCUGUGCGUUCUAAUCAGAAGCUGGCGUACAAGUACUAUGGCCCUUAUCGUGUGCUUGCUCGAGUGGGAAAAGUGGCUUAUCGAUUGGAAUUGCCUGCAGCAAGUCGCAUACAUCCAGUCAUUCACGUUUCACAGCUAAAGAAAGUGAUUGGCAGCCAUGUACAGGUACAAUCUGAAUUGCCUGUUGCUGACCCAGGUGUGCAGGUACCCUUCAAAAUACUCCAGCGACGAAUGAUCCGUAAAGGGGCAUCGACAGUGUCUCAGGUGCUGGUACACUGGAGUGGCCUGGAGGAAUCGCUGGCGACCUGGGAAGAUGCAGAAGCUCUUCGACAGCACUUCCCAGCCGCACCCGCUUGGGGACAAGCGGCUUCUCAGGAAGGGGGGGUUGUUAGCGACCCAAGUGCAGGCCCAACUACAAGCCCAGCUACGCUAAGGAGGAGUACCAGGGCCCGCCAAGUUCCAGCCCGUCUACGUGACUGAUCAGACCGAUCCCCGUCGCUGUUAUAAGCGGAGGACGGCUGCUGUAAUAGGAUAGGCUUGGGCAGACGGCUCUGCCAAUCUGAAACUGAUAUCAUGUUCCUCUGCACCGGGUUGCGGCCUGUGAUACUCAUGGACUACGGUGGCACGAUGCCUCAGCUACAGGAUAAUCUCUGCAGCCUGCUGCACCACGCUCGGCAGGAAGCAAGCAUCUUGAAUCCACUAAGGGUGAUGGUUAUCGACGAUAUGCUCUAUGUGAUUCACAUACAAGGACUUGCUGAACAUGUGUCACCAAAUGCAAGUUGCUUGCCAACACAGAAAAAAAUGAAACCAUGAUGGAGCUUUUAUCUAUCCAAGAUCGUUUUUCAGCUACAUUCCCUGUUGAAGCAGUUGUAGAACCUGGAACAACAAAGCAGGACCCAAGACUCCCAGAGAGAGCCAAUGAUGUGGAG